CAGAGGUCCCAAGCGUUGUUCGGAUUCACUGGGCGUAAAGGGUGCGUAGGCGGUCGGGUAAGUCUGAUGUGAAAUCUCACAGCUUAACUGUGAAACUGCAUUGGAUACUAUCCGGCUUGAGGAAUGGAGGGGAGACUGGAAUACUUGGUGUAGCAGUGAAAUGCGUAGAUAUCAAGUGGAACACCAGUGGCGAAGGCGAGUCUCUGGACAUUUCCUGACGCUGAGGCACGAAAGCCAGGGGAGCAAACGGGAUUAGAUACCCCGGUAGUCCUGGCCCUAAACGGUGCGCAUUUGCUGUGAGUGGAAUCGACCCCGCUCGUGGCGAAGCUAACGCGUUAAAUGCGCCGCCUGGGAAAUACGGCCGCAAAGGUUA
rnacentral:rRNA from 1 species